rnacentral:lncRNA from 1 species
UAAUCUUCCCAUGCAUCUGUCCAGGUUCAUGGUCGUGGCUCCCUUCUCUUUACAGCAAGAGACAGCCUGUCCAAGACCAGAACUAGCCAAUCACACACAAGGAAGCUCCCAUUGGUUGUUUGCCUCCACAAAGCAUCUUCUUGAUUCCCUUUGACUAGAUUCAAACCUUGGUGCCUUAUCCACAUACUAUGCACACUCUUCACAUCCUGAAUAGUGACCCAAAUAGUGAAUAGUCAACCUGAAUAGUGACUAGUGAUUCACUAUUCACUUUUACACCAACUUGCCCAAACUUCUCCAAUCUUACUGUGGUAACUCUCCAAAGUUACUGUGGUAACUUUGGAGUUACUGUCUGACCCAAAUCUUCUCUAAAUGGUGUCUAAGUCCCUCCUGGACUUAACCUUAUCUUUGCACACUCAUCAGACCACUUCUAAAGCCUUAAGACUCUCCCAAAGCCUUAACAUACAAUCUCUGAAGAUCUUGCCAUGUCUUUGCACAAGCACCAACUCAACUCAUCACUUUUGCUUCUCCACUUCUUCUCUUCAAGUUAACACUCCCCCUCAAGCUUGACUCUAGCUGAUCCUAAGUCAAGCUUGGAACCUUGAAGAACUUCCUCAUUAAAAACCUCACCAAGGAAAACCCUUUGGGACAAAACCUUGAUGAGGGAAAAAGAGUAAAGUCUCCAAGGCCUAGGGAUUGGCCAGUGAGUCUUUGUGCCUUACCAACAAUGUAAGGGACACAAAGACUCUGGAUCAUGGCCUCUACAAUCAUCCCACGCCUUGUACUCUCCUUACUGCCUAAUCUUGGUCUCUCCCCCUUUCAUCUAACCUCUUGUUAGGUUGAAGUGCUCGGACACACCAGAUCAGCCUCUUCUUGGAGAUAUAACUUCUCUUACUGAGUCUUGGCUGCUUCUUCUUCUUAUAGAGUCGCCACCUUGUUGUUUGAGCUACAUGAGGAUGCUUCAGCCACUCUCCAAUCACCUCAACACUUGAAGCCGCCUUGGAUAUUGCUUCUUCAUCCUUCAUCAUACUUCUCAACAGGUUGCUUCCUCUUCUAGAAUAACCACCAAGCUCUCUUGGAUCAUGUAAUCUUCAACAUCCACCAUGUGCCAGUGAUGCUCCUUAGGCACUUGCAUGUGUUGACUCACCUGAUUCACAGCAAAGCAGAUGUCAGGUCUAGUUAUAGUAAGAUAAAUCAAUUUGCCAACUAGUUUUCUAUAGACUAUUGAGAUGAAGACCAAGGAGGCUGAGACAGUAACUUUAGAGUUUUACUGUGGUAACUUUAUUUUAACCACAGUAACUACUUGGGGAAGUUAUCUGAUGGGAUGAGAAGGUAACUUAGUGAAGAGAAGAGAGGAAACUCGACCAAAGAGGAUAAGUGAGGUUAAGGAAGGAUAAGGGAUCACUUUGACAGCCUGUAUGAUGCUGGAAAGGAGAAGUUACCUUUAUACUAGUGCAAGCAUGUGAGAAAGCACAGCCAAGUGAUUCAAAAGGAGUUCCAGCCUGUCCUUUGACUACACAUGCUUAACCAUUUCGAAUUUCCUUGUUGCUCUCUCUAUUAAUACUUGUAAACCUCAUCAGUUAUUAAUUAAUGGAGUUUUGAGUCUCUCUCUCUUUAUUCUCUCACUAGAAUCUCUUAAUCUCUUUAAUCUUUUCAUCUGAUUAUCCCUGAUUGGUUGAAUCAUGCUCUAAUACACAAAAGUGUAUAUGGUAUCAGAGCCAGGUUGCUAAAAAGGGGAGAGUGUGAUUUCGUUUUUCAUAAAAUCUGGGUGUUCUUGAGUGUUCUUGAGGGUUCUUGAGUGUUCUUGGUGUUCUUGAGUUCUGGUCUUUAUUAUCUGAGUGGUGUGAGAUAUUCUGAUGGAUUCAAACUAUCUCAACAUGGAAAUGAAGCACAGAUCUAGUACAACCAUGGAGCUUGAAGAAGAGAGGGAUGGCGAUUGGUCAAGAUGGGCAAAGAGAGCUUUGGAAAGCUGUGGGUUAUGGAGUAGUCAUGGAAAGGGGAAACCUUUCAUGGAAAUGGCUACUGAAGAAGGUCAGACAAGAGGUCUGAAGCUGGGAAAUGAAGUUGUUCAAGGAGACACUACAAAGAGUGAGAUUGAAGCAACUUUAGGCAAGUCCAAGCUUGUGAGAGUCGUUGAGGACAGAGGGGUGAUCCGCGGCUUGAGACAAGGAGAGGAUGAGUGUUAUCAGCUUGUGGGAAGGCUGAGAGAAGUAUGGUCGGAGCUAGAUGUGGUGAAGACACACACAUCAAAUCCGAGAGAUGUUGUCAAGAAAGGAGGAAGCAAGAUGUGAUCUUCAGCUUCCUUAUGGAAGAGGUAUGUGAGCUUGUUAAAUAUACUUGUGAUGUGUGGGAAAUGAACAUGAAGCCAGAAAGAUGGAAGGGAGGUACAAGCUGUAAGAGGGGAAGGUUGAGAAAACUUUCUAAGGAGUGGUUAAUGAAGAGAAGGGCAUGGAGAAAGGAUAGCGAGUCUGAGCACUUAAGUGAUAGGAUGAGUGUAAUCUUGAAGAGAAUCAAGGAUGUACUUCAGCAGAUGGUUAUAGGAGAGUGUUCAUACUCAGCUUACAUGGGAGAGACAGUAGGAGACAGUGCGGAUAUGAGAGGAAUGGAUACCAAGAGGGCAGAUGAGUGUGUGACAAAGAAGGAAUGGGAUGAGUUGGUUAAGCAUGUGUAUGCUUUGGCUACGACCCGGAGUCUGGGUGCUCCUGCCAAAGCAUCCACAUCUAAACCCAUCAUCAUUGACUCUGGAGCAACACACCACAUGAUCAGUGACAAGAGACUAAUCAGUGAGGUUAAAGCAGCAAUAGGGAGUGUCAUGAUAGCCAAUGGUACCAGGAUCCCAAUAGAAGGAGUGGGAAACCUCAAGCUGUUUGAGAAGAACUCCACUGCCUUCUACCUACCUCAGUUUACAUCCAAUCUAAUCUCAGUUAAGAAGGCUACAGUUGAUCUGGAUUGUCAAGUGGUUUUCAGACCAAAUGAAGUUGAGUUCCAGGAUUUGAAGACUGGAAGGGUUAUUGGCAGAGGAGACAGCAAGCAUCAGCUCUAUCAUCUCCAAACAACUGAGGCGCCUAGUCCUGUGGAGUCUGUGUGUUUAAGCAGCACAACGGAUAGGUGUGAUAAUCUCACAUGGCAUGCAAGGCUGGGACAUCCUCAUGCCAAGGCAAUUGAACUGAUUCUACCAAGUAUGGCGUUCAAUCACUUGGAGUGUGAAGCUUGUAUACUUGGAAAGCACUGUAGGACUGUCUUCCCAACAUCAGAAACCAGAUAUGAGAAUUGCUUUGAUCUGGUGCAUUCAGACGUGUGGACAGCUCCCUGUAUGUCUAGAGACAGCCAUAAGUACUUUGUGACUUUCAUUGAUGAGAAGUCCAAGUACACAUGGAUCACCAUGAUUCCCUCCAAAGACAGAGUCCUAGAAGCCUUCAUGAACUUCCAAGCAUAUGUUACUAAUCAGUACAAUGCCACUGUGAGGAUUCUGAGGUCUGAUAAUGGAGGAGAAUACAGUAGCAAUGCUUUCAAGAGUCAUCUUGCAAAGCAUGGGAUUGUGCAACAAACUAGCUGUCCUUACACACCACAACAAAAUGGGGUGGCUGAGAGGAAGAACAGACAUUUGAUGGAGGUUGCGAGAUCAAUCAUGUUUCACAUGAAUGUCCCUAAGAGGUUUUGGAGUGAUGCUGUUCAGACUGCUUGCUAUCUCAUCAAUAGAGUGCCAACCCGUGUCUUGAAGAAACUGUCUCCCUUUGAAGUAUUGAACAAGGCCAAGCCACACAUUGAUCAUUUGAGAGUCUUUGGGUGCUUAUGUUAUGUGAUGAUUCCCGGAGAAAGAAGGAACAAGCUAGAAGCAAAGAGUACUAAAGCUAUGUUCAUUGGGUACUCAAUCACUCAGAAAGGCUACAAAUGUUAUGAUCCAAUAACUAGGAGGGUUAUGGUAUCUAGAGAAGUGAAGUUUGUUGAGUCUAAAGGGUAUUAUGAGGAGAAGAAAUGGGAAGACCUAGAGGAUCUGUCCCGAGCUCCAUCAGAGAAGGCAACAACAUUGAGAGUGUUGUUGGAGAGGCUAGGGAUAGGAUUAUCCCAAGAUCAGGAACCAGGAAGAACCGGACCUUCUAAUCAAACUGGAGAAGCUGGAGGAACAACUCCUCUUGAUCAUGAGAGGGGGAAUGGAUCUGAAUCAGGGGAGCAGGAGCAUAACCAAGAGGAUUCAGGUCAGCAUGAUCAGGAGGAGACACAGGAAGUAGAGAGUGAAGCUCAGUCAGGUGGAAAUGAGCAGGGAGAACCUACUGGUUUAAGAGAGGAAGCACAAGAGAAUGUUCAGGCUGAAGAACAGGUUGAGACCUUGCGGAGGAGCACAAGGAUAAGGAGGGAUCCUUCCAACUGGGUAAACACGAGAGUGUACUACAAUGCCCAGGCUGUGGAGCAUCCCUCUCAAGCCGUGUGUUCCUUUGCAGAGUUUCCAGAAGAGCACAUGGUGUUUAUGUGUAACUUGGAUGAGAAUGAGAUACCAAGAUCUUAUGAAGAAGCUAUGAAGCACAAGGUUUGGAGAGAUUCAGUAGGAGAUGAAAGGGAUGCAAUGAUCAGGAAUGAUACUUGGUAUGAGAGUGAGUUACCUAAAGGGAAGAAGGCAGUUUCAAGCAGAUGGAUCUUCACCAUCAAGUACCUUGCAAAUGGGGAGAUAGAUAGGCGCAAGACUAGGCUGGUUGCAAGAGGAUUUACACAGACUUAUGGGGAAGAUUACAUUGAUACUUUUGCACCAGUGGCCAAGCUUCACACAAUUCGAAUUGUGUUAUCUAUUGCAACAAACUUGGAGUGGGAUUUGUGGCAAAUGGAUGUGAAGAAUGCUUUCUUGCAAGGUGAACUUGAAGAUGAAGUAUACAUGCAUCCACCUCCUGGUCUUGAGCAUCUAGUAAAGCCAGGGAAUGUUUUGAGAUUGAAGAAGGCUAUAUAUGGGCUGAAGCAGUCUCCUAGAGCUUGGUACAGAAAGCUUAGUACAACUCUCAAUGGGAGAGGGUUCAGGAAGUCUGAACUAGAUCAUACACUCUUCACACUGGUUGGACCAUCAGGGAUCAUAGUGAUUUUGGUGUAUGUGGAUGAUUUGAUUAUCACAGGGAGUGAUAAGGCUGGGAUUAAAGCCACCAAAGAGUUUCUCAAGUCUGUGUUUGAUAUUAAAGACUUGGGAGAGAUGAAGUAUUUUUUGGGGAUUGAGAUAUGCAGAUCUAAGGAGGGUUUGUUUAUGUCUCAAAGGAAGUAUACUAUGGAUAUGCUGAAGGAGACUGAUGUGCUUGGAGGGAAGAUAGCUAAGACACCUCUUGAGGAAGGGUAUAAGGUCUUGCGUGAGGGGGAGGUUGAAGAGAACCAGUUGUUUGAGGAUGCUAAGCUGUAUAGGAGGAUGGUGGGUAAGCUGAUCUACUUGACUAUUACCAGACCUGAUAUAUGCUUUGCUGUGAAUCAAGUGAGCCAACAUAUGCAGGCGCCAAAGGUACAUCACUGGAAGAUGGUUGAUAGGAUACUGAGGUAUUUGAGUGGCUCACAUGGACAAGGAGUUUGGAUGGGUUGCAAUGGCAGUACAGAAGUGGUUGGGUAUUGUGAUGCUGAUUGGGCAGGAGAUAGAGUGGACAGGAGAUCAACUACUGGGUAUUGUACAUUCAUUGGAGGGAAUCUGGUUACUUGGAAGAGUAAGAAGCAGAAGUAUGAGAUUUGAGAGCUCUGGCUGUGUAUGUGUAUGAGAAGCCAUUAGAGGCAAAGAAUAAGGUCUUGAACUAGUUGAAUAAGAGGUCUGAUGAAACUAGUAUGAACUUGAAUCAGAAACAAAGAGACUUAGAGAGAUUAAGAGAUUAGAGACUAAGAAAGGGGUAGAUUAAGGGAAUCUGAUCAAGAACACACUUUUAUAUUUAUGAAGGAGAUGGGGAAAACCCCCAUACUCUCUUAAGAGAGUUACAAACGCCCAUGAGGGUCUUUAUAUAGGUUUUACACUCUUGCAAACUCAUAAACCUAUAUCUAAUGGAUAGAAAUAACUUAAGAGGAAUGGAUGGUGAGGAUGAGUUGGUCUUGUUGUAAUCUGAGUGAUGUGUGCUGAUUGGAUAACCUAAGCUGGCUCACUUUAAUUCAAACCAAGGCAAGCUGGCUCCUUGCUUGUGAUUGGCUCUCCUUAGGCUCCUACUAAUCUUCCCAUGCAUCUGUCCAGGUUCAUGGUCGUGGCUCCCUUCUCUUUACAGCAAGAGACAGCCUGUCCAAGACCAGAACUAGCCAAUCACACACAAGGAAGCUCCCAUUGGUUGUUUGCCUCCACAAAGCAUCUUUUUGAUUCCCUUUGACUAGAUUCAAACCUUGGUGCCUUAUCCAUAUACUAUGCACACUCUUCACAUCCUGAAUAGUGACCCAAAUAGUGAAUAGUCAACCUGAAUAGUGACUAGUGAUUCACUAUUCACUUUUACACCAACUUGCCCAAACUUCUCCAAUCUUACUGUGGUAACUUUCCAAAGUUACUGUGGUAACUUUGGAGUUACUGUCUGACCCAAAUCUUCUCCAAAUGGUGUCUAAGUCCCUCCUGGACUUAACCCUAUCUUUGCACACUCAUCAGACCACUUCUGAAGCCUUAAGACUCUCCCAAAGCCUUAACAUACAAUCUCUGAAGAUCUUGCCAUGUCUUUGCACAAGCACC